rnacentral:lncRNA from 1 species
GCCAUGCAAGGCAAGAGGUGACUCCCACGACCAGUGCGGGUCACAGCACAGGCGACAGAAGCUAUGGCAGAGGCACCUGAACCCUCUCGGAGGGGAAAGCCAGGCUCCCAACCUCAGCUCGCCGCCUGGAGCCGGGAACCGAGGAGAGCAGGGCCUUCGCCCUCCCCGAUGGACACUCGGCAGGCCCCGCCCAGCGCCCCUGAUUGGACGAAGCGCCGGGCCCCGCCCCCUCAGCCUUUUGAGUCAGGGUCUCACCCUGUGGCCCAGGCUGCCCUCCAGUGAUGCCAUCAUGACUCAGUGCAACCUCAAACUCCCAGGUUCAAGCGAUCUUCCAUCCUGACCUCCAAAAGGGCUGGAUUAUACACAUAAGCCAUGUCACACUUUAUAUGUUUCUAGGGAAGCUUUUCUAAGAAUAAAUACAUUGGAACUA